rnacentral:rRNA from 1 species
UACGUAGGGGGCUAGCGUUGCUCGGAAUCACUGGGCGUAAAGGGUGCGUAGGCGGGUCUUUAAGUCUGGGGUGAAAUCCUGGAGCUCAACUCCAGAACUGCCUUUGAUACUGAAGAUCUUGAGUUCGGGAGAGGUGAGUGGAACUGCGAGUGUAGAGGUGAAAUUCGUAGAUAUUCGCAAGAACACCAGUGGCGAAGGCGGCUCACUGGCCCGAUACUGACGCUGAGGCACGAAAGCGUGGGGAGCAAACAGG